AAAGUCGUAACAAGGUUUCCGUAGGUGAACCUGCGGAAGGAUCAUUACAGAGUUCAUGCCCUCACGGGUAGAUCUCCCACCCUUGAAUACUAUACCUUUGUUGCUUUGGCGGGCCGCCUCGGCUACCGGCUCUAGCUGGUAAGCGCCCGCCAGAGGGCCCUAAAACUCUUGAAUAUUAGUGUUGUCUGAGUACUAUAUAAUAGUUAAAACUUUCAACAACGGAUCUCUUGGUUCUG
rnacentral:misc_RNA from 1 species